AGAUAAAAUUGGAAUAGGUUCUUGGUGUAGAAUUUUAUUUAUUUAUGUGUUUAUUAUUGAUGAUUUAGAUCAUGCUCAAAGGAUCUUAUUAGAGGCAAGAAUAACGCAUGUCAGUUAAAUUAUUAAAGGAAGAAAAUGGCGACAAAAGGUAACAAAAAAUGUGCACUCCUUCAAAAAGGGGAAUAUACGUGAUGAAGCAACACAAAAUAAAUUGAGCAGCAGCCAAAGCAAAACGAAAUUAGUGGUCGAUGAAACAUCUCAACGAAUUGUCUAUGCUUCUCCAAACGAUAAAUGGACGAAAUUGAAGAGCAAGCUACGUUUAACAGCACAGCACAAGCAAGAACG